GAGAUAUCACAUAAGUUUUUUUCGUAAAAUCAAAUUAAUAAAAUACUAAUUUUAAACUAUUUAAAUGAAAUAAAAAAAUUACCAAAAGAAUAUUUAUGUUAAUUUGUUGGUAAUGAUACUACCUUUGUCCUCCUAAAAUUUCUUCAUAGUUGUCUCCUAAUCUUCUUUUCAUAUGUAUGUGCAUCAUUUGAUCUUCUUUUUCGUUCCUGUAAGAAACAAUACAUCAUAAAAAUAAUGCACUAUGAAUAAAAAUUCUAAGAAAAUAAUUUAAAAUUUCAC
rnacentral:lncRNA from 1 species